rnacentral:rRNA from 1 species
GAUGAACGCUGGCGGCAUGCCUAACACAUGCAAGUCUAACUGUGAAAGCAGUGACGGACGGGUGAGUAACAUGUAAGUUAUCUGCCUUUGGGCGAGGGACAACAAGUGGAAACGUUUGCUAAUACCUCGUAAUCUCUUUUGAGUGAAAAAUUUAUUGCCCGAAGAUGAGCUUGCAUCCGAUUAGUUUGUUGGUGAGGUAAAGGCUUACCAAGACUAUGAUCGGUAGCUGGUAUGCGAAUGCGAACAGCCACACUGGGACUGAGACACGGAACAGACUCCUACGGGAGGCAGCAGUGGGGAAUAUUUGGCAAUGGGUGAAAGCCUGACCAAGCAAUGCCGCGUGGAGGAUGAAGGCCUUUGGGUUGUAAUCUCCUUUUCUCAAUGAAGAAAUUUUGACGGUAUUUGAGGAAUAAGCAUCGGCUAAUUCUGUGCCAGCAGCCGCCGCGGUAA